GCCUGCCUAGCUCAAUUGGUCAGAGCGUCAGACUUUUAAGGCUGGCACACUGUGGCUUCCAAUAUAACUGGUAUCUGAAAGUUGCGGGUUCGAGUCCCGCGGUGGGCU